UACGUAGGUGGCAAGCGUUGUCCGGAAUUAUUGGGCGUAAAGCGCGCGCAGGCGGCCUUUUUAAGUCUGAUGUGAAAGCCCACGGCUCAACCGUGGAAGGUCAUUGGAAACUGAAAGGCUUGAGUACAGAAGAGGAAAGCGGAAUUCCACGUGUAGCGGUGAAAUGCGUAGAGAUGUGGAGGAACACCAGUGGCGAAGGCGGCUUUCUGGUCCGGUUCUGACGCUGAGGCGCGAAAAGCGUGGGGAGCAAACAGG
rnacentral:rRNA from 1 species